rnacentral:rRNA from 1 species
UACGUAGGGCGCAAGCGUUGUCCGGAAUUAUUGGGCGUAAAGAGCUUGUAGGCGGUCUGUCGCGUCUGCUGUGAAAGUCCGGGGCUCAACUCCGGAUCUGCGGUGGGUACGGGCAGACUAGAGUGAUGUAGGGGAGACUGGAAUUCCUGGUGUAGCGGUGAAAUGCGCAGAUAUCAGGAGGAACACCGAUGGCGAAGGCAGGUCUCUGGGCAUUAACUGACGCUGAGGAGCGAAAGCAUGGGGAGCGAACAGG